GCCAAGCCCAGGAACUAGCUGCAACUCUCAGUGAAGUGAACAGGAGCUGUGUGGCUAAGUUGUGGGAUGUUUGAAAGUGGAGGAGAGGAUGUUCUAAGGACACACUUCCAAAUGAAAUUCACCCCUGUGCAGAAGAUGGCAAGACUCAGGCAUAGGAAGAUUCAGUGUCACACAAGAAAGAGAAGUCCCAUAGGUAUCAGAGCUUCCGCCUCAAAACAGGGUGUGAGGAGGAAAUAAGUGAACCGACUCAAUGCAGUAUUAAACGAUGUCUAAAGCAGCAUUGCUACAAUAACAGCCUUAUAUAA